AUUCCGGUAGCUCAGUUGGUAGUGCAGUGCAACGGUACCGCACUAACCCGGGUUGAAAGCCCGGCCGAAGGU